rnacentral:rRNA from 1 species
GAUGAACGCUAGCUACAGGCUUAACACAUGCAAGUCGAGGGGCAGCAUGAUUGAAGCUUGCUUCAAUCGAUGGCGACCGGCGCACGGGUGAGUAACACGUAUCCAACCUGCCGAUAACUCGGGGAUAGCCUUUCGAAAGAAAGAUUAAUACCCGAUAGUAUUGUAUUUCCGCAUGGUUUCACUAUUAAAGAACUUCGGUUAUCGAUGGGGAUGCGUUCCAUUAGAUAGUUGGCGGGGUAACGGCCCACCAAGUCAACGAUGGAUAGGGGUUCUGAGAGGAAGGUCCCCCACAUUGGAACUGAGACACGGUCCAAACUCCUACGGGAGGCAGCAGUGAGGAAUAUUGGUCAAUGGACGAGAGUCUGAACCAGCCAAGUAGCGUGAAGGAUGACUGCCCUAUGGGUUGUAAACUUCUUUUAUACGGGAAUAAAGUGGAGUAUGCAUACUCCUUUGUAUGUACCGUAUGAAUAAGGAUCGGCUAACUCCGUG